ensembl:snoRNA LOC120098403 small nucleolar RNA SNORA40
AGCACGUGGAUGUAUUAAAAUGUCUUAUGCAGCAUAGAGGACAAGUGCAAUGACAAGUUCUCCUUCACAACCCAGAAUGCAUUGCUCAGUAUGAGUUUUGCUACAUACAAAAAAGGAAGAU